CCUACGGGAGGCAGCAGUGGGGGAUAUUGCACAAUGGAGGAAACUCUGAUGCAGCGACGCCGCGUGAGGGAAGAAGGUCCUCGGAUCGUAAAGCCCUGUCAUUAGGGAAGAAAAUGACGGUACCCAAAGAAGAAGCCCCGGCUAACUACGUGCCAGCAGCCGCGGUAAUACGUAGGGAGCGAGCGUUGUCCGGAUUUACUGGGUGUAAAGGGAGCGGAGGCGGGAGGGCAAGUCGAAUGUAAAAUCUACCGGCCUAACCGGUAGCUGCUUGCAGAACUUCUUGUCUUGAGUGAAGUAGGGGCAGGCGGAAUUCCUGGUGUAGCGGUGAAAUGCGUAGAUAUCAGGAGGAACACCAGUGGCGAAGGCGGCCUGCUGGGCUUUAACUGACGCUGAGGCUCGAAAGCGUGGGGAGCAAACAGGAUUAGAUACCCGUGUAGUC
rnacentral:rRNA from 1 species